rnacentral:rRNA from 1 species
AUACGUAGGUGGCAAGCGUUGUCCGGAAUUAUUGGGCGUAAAGCGCAUGUAGGCGGUUUGGUAAGUCGGUCGUGAAAAUGCGGUGCUUAACGCCGUAUGGCGAUUGAAACUGGUGAACUUGAGGGCAGGAGAGGAAAGGGGAACUCCCAGUGUAGCGGGGAAAUGGGUAGAUAUUGGGAAGAACACCGGUGGCGAAGGCGCCUUUCUGGACUGUGUCUGACGCUCAGAUGCGAAAGCCAGGGUAGCGAACGGGAUUAGAUACCCCGGUAGUCCUGGCCGUAAACGAUGGGUACUAGGUGUGGGAGGUAUCGACUCCUUCCGUGCCGGAGUUAACGCAAUAAGUACCCCGCCUGGGGAGUACGGCCGCAAGGCUUAAACUAAAAUGAAUUGACGGGG